rnacentral:lncRNA from 1 species
UUUUUCAAAUAUGCUACCGAUAAAAUCACAAAAGUGUCAAUACGUCAAUGGGGCAAUUUGAUUGGAUUGCUUGCUUAUGCAACCUUUAGUUACUCUGGAAAUCAUUUCAACCCCUAUCAACAAAGAAUUCCACCAGAAACAAUUUCAAACCCACAUAAAAGCACAAGCUCAUUACAGAGUUAACUAUUCCAUACAUUCAUUGAUUGUUAAUACGUACAGUACAUAAAUCCACAUCUAAUUCUAUAUAUCCUCCAUCAAUAUCUCUUCCGCAUAUUAUCCCAUACAUUCAUUGAUUGUUAAUACGUACAGUACAUAAAUCCACAUCUAAUUCUAUAUAUCCUCCAUCAAUAUCUCUUCCGCAUAUUAUCAUUAUCAAGAAGCAUUCAAUCUAACCAUACUCAAUUAUCAANNNNNNN